CUCUGGUAAUCGACAGCCUCCAGCUGUCUCUCUUCUUUCAGUCUCAUCCUCAUCAGAGAAGACGAAACUUCAUCUAUACAAACUUGUCUUCGUCCUUCGAAAAUCCGGUCUCGUUGUCUUCAUUGCUCAAAGAUUCUCUCUCAUCAUUGAUUCGGUCUUGUCGUCAUUUUGGUCUCAUCGUCACUCGAAGAUCCAGUCGCAUUGUCACUCGACGAAGAUGCUUUCCUGUCUUCGUCAAUUUGUCUGUACGAUUUCCUUUUUGGAGUUGUGCUGAUUUCUGUUGUUUGAAUUUCUGCUUUGUUAUUUCACAGGAUGGCAAGCUUCAUUCUCCUAAAAUGAUCAUUUGGAUAUAGCAAAGUGCUUAAACGAAUCCAAAGAGGGGUACCUUUCUUUCUUUUUUAAUAUUUUUUCUUGUUUUAUUGGGCAUUCUCAAGUUUUAGUCUGCAUCUCUCGUAGCACUCUAUUAUGAAGACAGACUCUCGGUAAAACUUCUAGAGUGCUCAAUCAGGAUCCGUCCCAAGUUGGCAAGAAGUUGUUGGAGCCCGUCAACAUGAGUUUCUUUCAACCUUCAUACUUAGAUUGUUAUACUGCCAAACUUCCUUCCAUUCUUUGAGGUGUAUUAAAUGACUAAUUUUAGUGACAAAUGAUAAGUUUUCAUACUGGCGUUUUUCGCUAAUCUGCUGUAUACUCUGCUAGCAUGUGGGAUGAUCCUUUUAAUUUGUGAAAUGAAGUACGUGUAGAGUAUUUGCUUACUUGGAUCCAUGCUGGGGGAUUCAUCCUUCAACCAAACGGUUAGUAUGGGAGUUCUUGUUGGGUUGCUUUGAUCCCGAGAGCACCUUUGAUGAACGAACUCAACUGAGGCAACGCAGGAGGAUUUAAAAAAAGAAAAUGAAAGUCAAAACAUGGCUUCCGAUAUUGGCAGUGGAAAGAAAAUUACAGCAGCUAUUGCGUCCGAUGAUGGGCAAACAUUACAAGAUUCUUCAGCAAACAAUGAUUCACAAGAUCAGGAUUGGCAAGUAAAUAGUGCUAUUUCCAACAAAAAAGUGCUUCAAUGGAUGCUCUGCUUGCCUCAAAUUGGAUAGCAGGAGCUCCAGAACACAAGGAAUCAUCCCAAUGACAUGCCCAAUAAUCUCAUCAGUGUAGUAAACGACAAACAGCUAAAGCAGUAUAGAAAGUUUGAGAAAAACUGCGUAGUGUGGAGUUUUUCUUGUAGCAACUGUUGUUGACACUAAAAAUAAGAAACUUUUUUAAGGAGGCCAAGGGGUCUGGAUGAUGUUGUCAAGGUCUUUCCCUCGUUUUUAAAACAUUCGUAACACUUCCCCCGUCUGUUGACAUACUGGAAUUUGUUUGAAGAAGCUUUUACAAUUGAUCUUUUCUAGUAAAUUAAACAAUAAUUUGGAUCCUCUCUUGAUUAGAAUU